rnacentral:rRNA from 1 species
UACGAAGGGGGCUAGCGUUGCUCGGAAUUACUGGGCGUAAAGGGAGCGUAGGCGGAUCGUUUAGUUGGGGGUGAAAUCCCGGGGCUCAACCUUGGAACUGCGGUCAAUACUGGCGAUCUUGAGUAUGGGAGAGGUGAGUGGAACUCCGAGUGUAGAGGUGAAAUUCGUAGAUAUUCGGAAGAACAUCAGUGGCGAAGGCGACUCACUGGCCCGUUACUGACGCUGAGGCACGAAAGCGUGGGGAGCAAACAGG